rnacentral:lncRNA from 10 species
CCUGAAUUGGGGCUGAGGACACCUUGGCACUGGCCUGUAGGCAACCCUUGGCACCUACACCUUGGGUGCCAUGAACAGCAGCAGGAGCCAGACAGGUUACUGGGUGGAAGGGGAUGGUCCCGAUUUACUAAGAGCUCCUGAAGUGAAUACUGUUAUAUAAAUCAUUUGAUUACAAAUAAGAAAACUGUGAUUAGAAAUACAUUUGAAUAUAAGUGAUUUUAAAAAUUAUUUAAAUCUGGAAUGAGCUUUGAAAUUAAUCUAAUUUUACAGAUGAAUAAACUAAUACUAAGAGAGUUCAAUUAGUUUUUGAGCCAGAAGGAUUUCAAAUAUCCUGGCCAUUACCCAAGUGCUUGGCUUCUCCCAGGAGUUCCACAUCUAGCUUCUCACGCUAUCCCCUCAACAGUGCUAUGCUUGAAUGGACAUUUGGCAUGACAAAGGUAAACAUAUAUAUCCCCCCAGCUACAUAUUAACAGUGGCACAUUGAUUACAAAGUAAAGAUUUAUGCCUCAGUAGAAACAAAGCUGAUGCAAUAUUUAAUUUAGAAAUAAUAUGAAUCGGGCUGGGCACAGUGGCUCACACCUGUAAUCUCAGGACUUUGAGAGGCUGAGGUGGGUGGAUCACCUGAGGUCAGGAGCUUGAGACCAGCCUGGCCAAGAUGGCAAGCCCAUGUAAAAUGCACAACAUCGGCAUGAGGCUCUGGACAUAGCAGUUAGAGAGUGCUGAAAAGUCAAAGA